UACGUAGGGUGCAAGCGUUGCCCCGGAUUUAUUGGGCGUAAAGGGCGCGUAGGCGGCUCUGCACGUCCGUUGUGAAAUCGCCCCGGCUCAACUGGGCGGGGUCAGCGGAUACGGCAGAGCUUGAGCAAGCUAGGGGGCAAUGGAAUUCCCGGUGUAGUGGUGGAAUGCGUAGAUAUCGGGAGGAACACCAGUGGCGAAGGCGGUUGCCUGGGGCUUUGCUGACGCUGAUGCGCGAAAGCGUGGGGAGCGAUCCGG
rnacentral:rRNA from 1 species